rnacentral:rRNA from 1 species
AUGAGUGACACAGGGAGGUAGUGACAAGAAAUAACAAUACGGGGCUCAACGCCUUGUAAUUGGAAUGAUGGGAACCUAAACCCCUUCCAGAGUAUCAAUUGGAGGGCAAGUCUGGCGCCAGCAGCCGCGGUAAUUCCAGCUCCAAUAGCGUAUAUUAAAAUUGUUUCAGUUAAAAAGCUUGUAGUUGAAUUUCUGCCGCAUCGCGGCGGCCUUCCCGAGCCUCGGUCGUUCGGGUU